CGCUGCCGGAGCUGUCCAGCACUUCAGCAGGGGCCGCGCCGGGGCCGCGCCGGAGGGGCCACGACCGCCGAGCCCCCCCGAGCCCACCGCCACCCCCGGCACCCCCGGCACCCCCCGGCGCCGACAGGGACCCCCCUCCUGGGGCCGGACUCAGCGGGACGGCGGGGCGAGGUGAUCAUGGCUCUCUACAACAAUGGGGCCGAUGUGCCUUCGCCCCAGGAAGCCUCCAACGGCUUCUCCCAGCCCGGCGCCUCGGGAACGUGGCACAAGGGUGAGGAGGAGGUGCGGCUGGUGGAGCCCAGCAUGGUGAAGAAGGCUCACCGGGAAAUCCUGGACCACGAGCGCAAGCGGCGGGUGGAGCUGAAGUGCAUGGAGCUGCAGGAGAUGAUGGAGGAGCAGGGGUACUCCGAAGAGGAGAUCCGGCAGAAAGUGGGGACCUUUCGGCAAAUGCUGAUGGAGAAGGAAGGUGUGCUCACCAGGGAGGACCAGCAUGGGCGCCAAAUCGUGAUAGAAAACCACCACGGGGCGGACGGGGAGGAGUACGCGGUGGAGUAUCCCGACUACGGCGAGGGCUGCCUGCUGCAGUGCGACUGCUCGGCCGAGUGCUACCGCGAGGACAGCGGCCACCGCGAGUACAGGCUGAAACGGCGCUCGAGUAGCUCUACCUCUCCUCCCCCCAAGAAGAAAAAGAAGAAGAAAUCAGGUCACCGCCGGAGCCGCAAAAAGAGGAAACCUGGCUCGGAGCGCAGCUGUGACAGCUCUUCACCCAUCCGCAAGGAAAAGAAAAAGAAGACUGGAAAGAAACACAGGCGUGACAGAUCUGAGUCAGGGUCACGGAAGAAGAGAAGACACAGGUCCCGAAGCCCCAAGAACAAACGGAAAGAGAAAAACAAAGAGCGCAAGAGGUCCCGCAGCGAGUCCCCGGCCUGGCGCUCGCACCGGCGCAGCUCCUGCAGCUCCCACAGCGCCUCCCUCUCCUCCGACGACAGCGGCUCCAAAUCCCCCGGCAGGCUGAGCCCCAAGCGCCGGCAGGAUGGUCCCAAAGGCAGCAGCGCUCGCUCCAGCCGCAGCCCGUCCUCGCCCUCGCCCCAGCGCUCGGCCUCGCCGCACCAGAACGGGCACAAGGGCAGCGCCCAGAACGGCCGCCACAGCCACGGCGCCCCGCUCCCGGAGCCCUCGGAUGUACGUAGGCUUUUCUUGGAUCACUCUUCGCUUCCCUCCCCUCCUCCCUCCACAGGACUGCCCCCCUGCUCUCCUCUCCGCUCCUUCCCCACUCGCUCGGCUCCCCGCCCUGCCCAGCCGGGGCACACGGGGGAGAUGCACUCACCAACUCUGCACGGUCUCCCUGGGGGAGCCAGCCCGUCAUCUCGGGGCAAGGAUCAGGGCAGCCAACAAAUCAUCCCUCCCCCAAAGCCGCACAUUGCCCUGCAGAUGUCACCCCGAGACGAUGGCUUGGCAGGCAGGCGACACUGCCAGGGUCACCACUGGGCUCAGCACCUACCUGAGAUUGAGCCCAGACAGCCAAGAAAUGGGUACAGCUGGAAAAUUCGUUUCCCCAGCAGCCCAAACCCUCCCCAGUGCCAAGGGGCUGACACCAGUGCUCAGGACUCCAACACCCAGUCUGGCCAAGGUAGUGUUCGGAGGGGAUUUGGUGCUGGAUGCUCAGAUUUUAGGGUCCCCAUGGCAGGUGACAUUGGAGCUAAGUGUCCCUGGCUCUGCCUCAUUGUCCUGGGAUGUCCCAAUGAAACCUGGGGGGCUACUCCAGUGCUGAGUGGUCAAAACUCUAAUCCUGUGGGACAGAGAGCCAGUCCCAGUUUAACCAGUGCCAGGAUGGCAAGGAGCCUGCUUUGGCUAACAGGGACUGGAGGCAGAGCUGACUGAAGGCAGUGUGCUGCAUGACUCCACUACUGGGGGCCACACAGGUCCCCACUCACCUCAGGGAACUUCAUUCCCAUGGUGAGGUGCUGUGGGGACACUGCCAGGCUGGUAGCACCCUGUGCUGACACCCCAACACCUGCAGGGCCAGGGCCACCCCGGAAAAUGGGGCCAGGAGCCCCCCUCCCCAUACCCACCUCCCCUUCACCCUCCCCAGCCCAGCACCCCCCAGCAGCACCCAGCACCCAGCACCCAGCCCAUCUCUUGGAGCACCUCUCUGCUUUCUUCUUUUCCUGUGGUUUUGGCUGGGGUGUGGGGGGGUUCGGGAGCCCCCCAGGCGCCCGGCUCGCCCCGCUCUCCCCCUGCCCACCCCCCAGCAUCGCCCAGGCCGACGAGCUCCCUUGGCUCUCUGACACCAGCGGGACUUUUCUCCAACAACUUUCUCUCUUUCUCUCUUUCUCUCUCUCUCUCUCUCUCUCUUCUUUCUCUCUCUGGUUUCUACUUUUUAUUUUUUUUUCUUUUUAAUCCCAUCUGUGUUUUUCUUUAGCCUCCCAUUUGAAAAAAACCCAAACGGUAAUAUACACUUCCAUUUCUUGCUCAGCAGAAGCAGGGAUGAGGGGGAGGGAAGGGCAAUGAAACGUGCUUUUUUUUUUUUUUCCCGCCCCCUUGUUUUAGUUUCCUUUCUCAUGAUUUCUUUUCUUUUCCCUUGUGAUGUACAGAAAUGCAAACGAUUUAUAUUUCUCUUAUUUUCAUUUUUCCCCCCCCGUCGUCGUCGUGUUGUUCUAGAAUUUUUUGCUUUUGUGUGUGUUAAUGUGGAGAAGAAAAAAAAAAACAAAACAACAAACCCAAACCCAAAAACCAGAUGUGUUUUCUAAAUAUUUACGACCACUGAACAUUGUAUUUCCAUUUUCUAUAUUUUGAACAAGGAAUUUAAAAGGGAAGAGAACCCAGCAGGCCUCCACUGCAAAAGAAAUGGGCUUGUUUCCAUCUCAUGGAGUGAAUUGCCCUUUUCCUCCUCAAAUUGGCUACUGUCCCGUGUCCUCAGCUGGAUCCUGCUGAUGUGGGGAUGGUUUUCCUCCCUGGCUGCAGGAUGAGGCUGCUGGGUGCUGGGUUAUCCGAGCACCCCGCAAUCAUCCCACACCCAAGUACCCAUAUCCUGCAUCCCAGCAGGAUGGAUGCUGAGCAUCCUUGGUACCCAGCUCCUUUCCCAUCUCCUGCAGACCCCCAAAAGCUCAGCCCAUCCCCCGGAUGAGCUGUGUCCCCCCUCAGCACCCCCAGGGCCACCGGGAGCAAGGGGUGCCCCGGGGCGCUGCACGGUGUUACCUUCCCUUUUAAAUACCCAGUCCUGUCUCCAUCCAUCCCUGCUGCCUUCCCAGCCUUCCUCCUGGGUCUCUCCUCCUCCUCCUCCUUGCCCACACGCACCCUCCAGCCCCUCUUUCUCUCCGGUUUUCUUUGGGCCAACACAACCCAACAUCCCUCGCCGUGUCCCACCUCCAUCCAUCGCCUUCCCUGCAUGUUAUCCGGGACUUUGCCAUGUUAUAGAGUGACUUUUUAAGACUGAACUGCAGCUGGGUUACAGACACCAGCCAGCAACUCCCCCCGUGGCCACCCCGCUCGGCGGCCGGCCACAGCCUUUCCAUUGAAAAGCAAACAAAAAAACCUAACAAACAAACAAACAAAAAAAAAAUUAAAAACUAAAGAGACCGAAUUUAAAAAAUAAUUUAAAAAAAUUCUAAGCAGAGCAAACGGGAUUAGCCGAGGGGUCUGGAUCGCCGUACUAAAGAGUCCUUGUCUUUUUCCCAUUCUGCCCUCCAAAUGUGGAGAUUAUUGUUUUCUUUUUUUAUUAUUGCAUUCCUGUCACUGCCAAUUCCAAAGGUAGGUAUUUCGUCCACCUCUGCACGUUCACUUCUGCAGAUGAGCCUGUUGAAAAGCACCGUAGCUUGAUUUAAUGUUAUUUUCUCUUUCUUUCUGACUUUCUUUCUCUUUCUUUCUCGCUCUCCUUCUCUGUCUCUCUUUCAUUUUGUCCCUUUUUGGUGGCUAUAUAUGAUUUUUUUUGUUUUUGAUUUGUAUGGUUUUCCCCAGUUAGCUGCAAAGCCAUGCUCUUCUCUUACGUUCUUAUUUUGUAUAUUUUUUUGCCCUGUCCACGUAAUAUUUUUUUCUUUCUUCCCCCCUUUUCUCUUCCCCGUCUCCUCGUGCUGUCGGUAGAAUGCAUUUCUGUGUCUUUCAGCCCUCCGAAUUUGUGUUCGUUUCCAUGCAGGGGCUGCUCCCUUCGAGUCCCCCCUUAGUGGCCCAGUAACGAAGGCAAACGUAAUUAGUGAGAAAUAGAGGUGGUGGCCAGGGGUGGGAGUGGGCACAGGGGGGUUUGGAUUGAAUGGAUGGGGCAAAACCUGAGAAAUUUGGGGAGAUGUGUGGGUUUAACCCCUCUUUGGGUCGUGAUGGGGGGAAAAAACCCAACUCAGGAAAAAUACUGGGAGGUUGCAAUGGGGAAAGGUUGAAAUCUUCAUCUGUGGAGAGGCAGGUCCAGGGCAUCGCAUUCCCCAGGAGCAGGGGAUGGCAUCCCAGCCCUGGAUGUCCCAUCCCCACAAGUGCCCAGUGUGUGUUUUCCCUUUUGGGCUGGGUCUUUGCUGAUUUGGGUUUAUUUGGGAUGCUUUUACUGUCGUUGCCUUCCUGCACGCCUGGGCAGGAGACUGCAGGGUUUGGGUGGGAGCCCCACACCCCACAGCAUGGCCAACUGGCACCAAAAUGCUGCCCUGGGAAAGAGGAAAGCCCUUUCUUUCUCUCUUCAUCUUCCUCUUCUUCUACUUCAUCUUCUCUGCUUUUAUUUUCCUCUGUGGGGACACGGGGCUGGGAAAGGGCUCAGCUGAACCCCCCCUGUUCUUUCCCCCCUCACUGCAGCCAUUGCAACAGCAACAGAUUUCUAACAAAAAAUCCAAAUCCUCUCAUUUUGGCUCCAGCUUGCUGCUCUGUGGCUGGAGGGGUUGGCUUAUCCAUGGGGACAAGGAGGUUGGGUGUGGAGCAAUCUGGGAUGCUCAGGGAUGCAAAUGGUCUUGUGACCCUUUUGCAGCAUCUUUGUGGUGGUCCCCAGAAUCCCACCCCUUCGCCCUUCCUGCUUGUUUUUGGGGGAGAAAAGUGGUGUCUAGGACACAGUGUAGAGAGAACCUCAUCCUAGAGGAUUCACCAGAAGUAUUUGGGGCAUGGGGAUGGCAAAGAAUUGGGGUCAGCGGCCCUGGGUGUGGUGGCACAAUCCUGGCACCACCCCAAUCCCCCUGAACCCUCUUCAAUCCCCUCGACUGGAUUCCCUGUGCAGGAUUCACCCUUUCAGGGAUACUCAGGGACCUGGUGUUGGACUGUGGCUGGGGAAAGGAGACCCUAAAGCCAGGGGUUUGCCAGCUUGGUCAGGACUGGUGGUGCAGGAGGUGUUUCCACCCAUCUUUUUGGUCUAGUGAUGUUUGCAAAGAUGGGGAAAACACCCAGGCAGCAUUUGUGGCUCGGAGGAGCUCAGAUAUUUGGGGGCCCCAAGGCCAGACAAAACCCCCUCAGCUCUUGGUGAGAGCCUGGCUCGGGGCUUGGCCACGGUGGUGGCCCAGGGUUUUCCCUCCCUGUAGGAGAAGUGAGUUGGUUUGUUUUAUUUCUCCUCUCUCUGGCUCUGUCUCUGUCUCUCCUCCUUCUCUCGCUCUUUCUUUCUCUCUUGCAUUUUUGUGAAUCUAAUGAUGCACUUAUAUUGCCCCGCUUUUCCCUUCUCUUCAUACCUUACCUACUAAAGGAGGAAAUGCCACUUUUUUGAGGCCGGCCUCGGCGUCCCCCUCUCCGCGGGCUCACGGCAGGACGGAGCCGCUUUCCCCCCGCGCCCGGGGGGGCCG